UACGAAGGGGGCUAGCGUUGCUCGGAAUGACUGGGCGUAAAGGGCGCGUAGGCGGAUGGCUUUGUCGGGCGUGAAAUUCCAGGGCUUAACCUUGGGGCUGCGUUCGAGACGGGUUGUCUUGAGUGGGGAAGAGGGUCGUGGAAUUCCCAGUGUAGAGGUGAAAUUCGUAGAUAUUGGGAAGAACACCGGUGGCGAAGGCGGCGACCUGGUCCUUUACUGACGCUGAGGCGCGAAAGCGUGGGGAGCGAACAGG
rnacentral:rRNA from 1 species